rnacentral:misc_RNA from 1 species
GUGAAUCAUCGAAUCUUUGAACGAAAAUUGCACUCUCUUCGGAGAGUAAGCCUGUUUGAGGGUCAGUAUUAAUAAAAAUCGGUGUGUUGAUGCUUUGUGACGCUCCGGAGUUUGGGUGAUCUUAAUAUACUUUAGGUUUUAAGAGGCUUAAAAUUGACUUUUUUUGCGCAUUUAAGAUGUAAAUAAAUUCUUUUUUUUAUUAGGCAGUCUU